rnacentral:rRNA from 1 species
UACGUAGGUGGCAAGCGAUACUCGGAAUCACUAGGCGUAAAGCGCAGGUAGGCGGUUUGGUAAGUCUUUUGUGAAAGCUCCCGGCUUAACUGGGAGAGGUCAAAGGAAACUACCAGACCAGAGUGUGGUAGGGGAUACUGGAAUUCCUGGUGUAGCGGUGAAAUGCGUAGAUAUCAGGAGGAAUACCUAUGGCGAAAGCAGGUAUCUGGGCCAUCACUGACGCUGAGCUGCGAAAGCUAGGGGAGCAAACAGG